UACGUAGGGGUCGAGCGUUGUCCGGAGUUACUGGGCGUAAAGCGCACGUAGGCGGAUACUUAAGUUAGGGGUGAAAUCCCGGGGCUCAACCCCGGAACUGCCUUUAAUACUGGGUAUCUCGAGUUCGAGAGAGGUGAGUGGAAUUCCGAGUGUAGAGGUGAAAUUCGUAGAUAUUCGGAGGAACACCAGUGGCGAAGGCGGCUCACUGGCUCGAUACUGACGCUGAGGUGCGAAAGCGUGGGGAGCAAACAGG
rnacentral:rRNA from 1 species